rnacentral:rRNA from 1 species
CAGUAGCCAGGUAAUACGUAGGUGGCAAGCGUUGUCCGGAAUUAUUGGGCGUAAAGCGCGCGCAGGCGGAUCAGUCAGUCUGUCUUAAAAGUUCGGGGCUUAACCCCGUGAUGGGAUGGAAACUGCUGAUCUAGAGUAUCGGAGAGGAAAGUGGAAUUCCUAGUGUAGCGGUGAAAUGCGUAGAUAUUAGGAAGAACACCAGUGGCGAAGGCGACUUUCUGGACGAAAACUGACGCUGAGGCGCGAAAGCCAGGGGAGCGAACGGGAUUAGAUACCCCGGUAGUCCCUGUCUCUUAUACAC